GUAGGGAAUCUUGCGCAAUGGGCGAAAGCCUGACGCAGCCAUGCCGCGUGAAUGAUGAAGGUCUUAGGAUUGUAAAAUUCUUUCACCGGGGACGAUAAUGACGGUACCCGGAGAAGAAGCCCCGGCUAACUUCGUGCCAGCAGCCGCGGUAAUACGAAGGGGGCUAGCGUUGCUCGGAAUUACUGGGCGUAAAGGGAGCGUAGGCGGAUAGUUUAGUCAGAGGUGAAAGCCCAGGGCUCAACCUUGGAAUUGCCUUUGAUACUGGCUGUCUUGAGUUUGGGAGAGGUGAGUGGAACUCCGAGUGUAGAGGUGAAAUUCGUAGAUAUUCGGAAGAACACCAGUGGCGAAGGCGACUCACUGGCCCAAUACUGACGCUGAGGCGCGAAAGCGUGGGGAGCAAACAGGAUUAGAAACCCUGGUAGUCC
rnacentral:rRNA from 1 species